GACGAACGCUGGCGGCGUGCUUAACACAUGCAAGUGGAGCGACGAACCGGGGCUUGCCCCGGGGCAGAGCCGCGAACGGGUGAGUAACACGUGGGUAACCCACCCGAUGAUUGGGACAACCCGGGGAAACUCGGGCUAAUACCAAAUGUGCUCGUAGACCAUGAGGUCCAUGAGUAAAGAUAGCUUCGGCCUUCGCAUCGGGACGGGCCCGCGGCCCAUUAGCUUGUUGGUGAGGUAACGGCNCACCAAGGCUGCGAUGGGUAGGCUGGUCUGAGAGGACGAUCAGCCACACUGGGACUGAGACACGGCCCAGACUCCUACGGGAGGCAGCAGUGGGGAAUCUUGCGCAAUGCGCGAAAGCGUGACGCAGCAACGCCACGUGG
rnacentral:rRNA from 1 species